rnacentral:rRNA from 1 species
AUUGAACGCUGGCGGCAGGCCUAACACAUGCAAGUCGAACGAGUGGCGGACGGGCGAGUAAUGUCUGGGAAACUGCCCGAUGGAGGGGGAUAACUACUGGAAAAGGUAGCUAAUACCGCAUACCAUCGGAUGUGCCCAGAUGGGAUUAGCUAGUAGGUGGGGUAAUGGCUCACCUAGGCGACGAUCCCUAGCUGGUCUGAGAGGAUGACCAGCCACCCUGGAACUGGAACACGGUCCAGACUCCUACGGUAGGCAGCAGUGGGGAAUAUUGCACGAUGGGCGCAAGCCUGAUGCAGCCAUACCGCGUGUAUGAAGAAGGCCUUCGGGUUGUAAAGUGCUUUCAGCGAGGAGGCGUUACCCGCAGAAGAGGCACCGGCUAACUCCGUGCCAGCAGCCGCGGUAAUAC